UAGAGAUGACUUUUGUCUUCAUGGGUUCAAGAUGGCUGCUGCAUCUCCAGCUGUUGUGUUUGUGUUCCAGGCAGAGGGCAUCUGGCAGAGAAGGUAGAACUCCCAUUUAUUGAGCACCUGCUACACAGAAAGCACUGUGCCUGGUACAUUCACAUGGAUUAUGCUGCAAACUCAACAGCCUUCAACGCAAGCAUCAGACCCACAUUUUCGGAUCUGAAAACAGAGAUACAGAGGGGAUAAGUGAUUGAUCAAGAUCAAAUACCAGCAAGUGACGGAGCCAGAAUUUAAAAUCAGGGCCACCCCAUGUGGGCACCAGGUCUCGAGCCAGGUUGAUAAGAAUUAGAAGAUGGAGGACAAAACCCUUCUGCAAGGCAACAGGACUUUCUCCAGGUUGUCUGGCUCCGUUCCGCUGAACCUGUCAUCAGCAUCUCCGAGUCACAAAAUGUCGGGCUGGAGCUGCUGUCCUUGGAAAGAAGGGAAGUUGGCACUCGUUCUUGUCCAUGGCAAUGAUCCUGAAAGGUUUCCUGUUUAACAUUUUAUUUGUAUUAAAGAAAAAGUAGCAUCUCCAAACUGGAGAGGAUUCAGUGUGUGUGUGUGUGUGUGUGUGUGUGUGAUCAGAAUCGACUCCUCAGUAGCAGCCAUUUUCAACAUGAUCCUUGUGUUUGCUUGGCAAAAUCCAGGAUUGGAAAAACAAAAGGUUUUCCUGCCAGAGUCCCUUAAUUUCAGUAGCAGCAGGAGCAGUGGGAACCUGGUUCCCUCGGAUGCAUGUUUGAUGAGGAUGGCCAGGGGUGAGGCUGGGAGUCUUGUGGGGUGUUUUCCAGUGAAUGUGUCGGCUUUCUCUGCCCUUCUUUUCUCUUGUACAAGAACACGUGGCCAGAGUGAAGGACAAAUGAACUGGCAGCGUACCAGGAGUAGGGAGGGACAGGAGGGCUCAGAGAGGGGGCAAGGGUAUGGGAGAAAUGGACACUGUGGGGUUGCAGGGGAGAGGUCAAGGGUCACCCCUCACCUGCUGGGUCUGGAGAGUGUCCAAGGAGCCUGGUGUUGGAAUGUGAGACCGAAGGAUGAGUCCCGAGGUGCCUGCCCUAUGGGGUCACAGCACACUGCCUGGAAAACAGAGGCUGCCUAGUUACAGGGGAUGAUACAGACGGAGGGGCCAGCAGCCCAGAGUGAGCAGGAGUAGCUGGGGAAUUUCCACUGGCUCCAUGGUGAGGUCGGCUUGUGUGUGAACCCCCUGCAGCUUUUUAGGAGUCCUGAGAGCAGCCUGGAGGGGGCCUGGGAUCUUGUGGGGCCCUGCUCGUGGGGAUGAUCCUGAAAUCUGGACCUGCAGUCUGAGGGACCUGACAAAGAGUGGAUAAAGAGCUGUUAGCUCAGUUAUUUAUUAGUUGUAUUCUUUCUCACCCCUUUCUUAGCCUUUAUGAUCUGGGAAGAAACUUCAUAGAACUGAGAGGGCCAGUGAGUAUGUGACCAGCACAGUGAGCUCACUAGAAGGUCACCGGCUUCCACAUGAGGUCAGAGGAAAGGUGGACAGUGGUCCCUAAGGAGUUGGAACCACUCAUCUCCGGAGUAAAGAUCUGCUUAUCACCCCAGGAACUGGGGCACCACUGGAUCAGAUCACUCCUCUGAAUUAUCUGGUUAAUCACAGCUCUCCUGUACAGACUCCAAAGUGUCCAAGGGGUUACUUAAAAGACAUUCAGCAACAGCUACACCCUCCCCUCCCCCCACAAAUACCUCCAGCCCUUUUGCAAAGCACUAAGUCAUCCUGAUAGUGGUGACUUAGGUGGAUGACAAAGCAGCUUCACUCCCUGAGUCCUUGCUGUGGCUCACUGCCAUCCUGUGGUGCCACAGCUAGUCCUCUGAAGGAAUGGUUAUCUUCAUUUUACAAAUGGGGAAACAGACUUGCAGACCUUGACUUGCCCACAGACACAUAGAGCUGCGACUUGAACUUGGGUGUGUGUACCUGCAAGGCCUGGCUGGAGCACCCCCAAGGGUGAGCCAGUCCUGGUGCUGGAGCUCCUCUGCUCGCCCAGAUGAGCUAGAAAAGAGUGGGAGUCCGGGCCCCCAGGGUCCUCCUUGCAGGCCUGGGACAGCUGAGAGGAGAGCUCAGCUUUGCCAGGGUCAUGUCAGUAAGUCAAGUUGAAGACUGCAUCUGGAUUCCUCUUGUUGACUGGGGUCUUCCAGGAUAGAUUUGUGUGUGUGUGUGUGUGUGUGUGUGCGUGUGUGUGUGCAUGUGUAUGCUUGCACACAUGCACAGGCAUGACAGAGAGGCAGAGACAGAGAUGGACUGCAAAGGAAGGCAAGAUUCUUUGUAGCAGAUUACCUGGGAAGCCCCUAUGGAAUGGAUUUUGCUCAUUCCCUCCGUGUAAGUGUGAAAGUGAAGGACUAAAAAAGGAAUAGAAUAGGACAGAGGCUGAGCGUGAACCAGCCCUCGCAGGCUUGACUAUCAUCUGGAAUUUUAAGGUCUAAGAAAUAGCUCGUCUGUUGUCCAACGCUUGGACAAGCAUCCAACAUGGAAGCAGACCAUGGAAACCUACUUUUUUCUGAGAUACUGAAGAUGCCCUUUGAUCAACUGACUGACUACUUAAGAUUAUGGCAAACAUGUUACCCAUUUAAUGUUGCCCCUUUUAAAUACAUUUUUGUUGCAGGGUUUUAGAGUAUUCUCUGUGGACAUCGCUUUUUCUAAGUAGGAGGCUCUUCUUGCCUUGAGUUCGUUUGUGUGAACUUGACACUUCAAGAUGAGUGAAAAAUCCUGUGGGCUGCGUGGAAGAGAUACAUAUUAUACCUGGACUAUCUGUGUGAACUGAUGCAUUUUCCAGCACUCCCUGUUAGGCAGGGACAUGGGAUGAAUUCUGGUCAAUGGACUCUAGCAGAAGUAAUGGAUGUCAAGUCUCAGUCAAAGCACAGAAGGGAUAUGAGUCCUCCCUUGCUGCAUUCGAUCUGGAAGCCACAUGUUGAGAUGUUGGUGUCACAGAUGGACAUCAGACCCACUGAUCUGAAACAGA